CGCGGCCUAUCAGCUUGUUGGUGGGGUAAUGGCCUACCAAGGCGACGACGGGUAGCCGGCCUGAGAGGGCGACCGGCCACACUGGGACUGAGACACGGCCCAGACUCCUACGGGAGGCAGCAGUGGGGAAUAUUGCACAAUGGGCGGAAGCCUGAUGCAGCGACGCCGCGUGAGGGAUGACGGCCUUCGGGUUGUAAACCUCUUUCAGCAGGGAAGAAGCGAGAGUGACGGUACCUGCAGAAGAAGCGCCGGCUAACUACGUGCCAGCAGCCGCGGUAAUACGUAGGGCGCAAGCGUUGUCCGGAAUUAUUGGGCGUAAAGAGCUCGUAGGCGGCUUGUCGCGUCGGAUGUGAAAGCCCGGGGCUUAACCCCGGGUCUGCAUUCGAUACGGGCAGGCUAGAGUUCGGUAGGGGAGAUCGGAAUUCCUGGUGUAGCGGUGAAAUGCGCAGAUAUCAGGAGGAACACCGGUGGCGAAGGCGGAUCUCUGGGCCGAUACUGACGCUGAGGAGCGAAAGCGUGGGGAGCGAACAGGAUUAGAUACCCUGGUAGUCCACGCCGUAAACGGUGGGAACUAGGUGUUGGCGACAUUCCACGUCGUCGGUGCCGCAGCUAACGCAUUAAGCUCCCCGCCUGGGGAGUACGG
rnacentral:rRNA from 1 species